rnacentral:rRNA from 1 species
UGUAGAAUCCCGUGAACCAUUGAGUCUUUGAACGCAAGUUGCGCCCGAAGCCUUUAGGCCGAGGGCACGCCUGCCUGGGCGUCA